ACGAUCAUAUUCCGCUGAAAUACCGGUUCUUCAACGAUCACCGAAGUUAAGCAACGUCGAUCCUGGUCAGUACCUAGAUGGGUUACUGCUUGGGAAUACCAAGUGCUGUAA